rnacentral:rRNA from 1 species
GAUGAACGCUGACAGAAUGCUUAACACAUGCAAGUCAACUUGAACUUCGGUUUGGGUGGCGGACGGGUGAGUAACGCGUAAAGAACUUGCCUCACAGCUAGGGACAACAUUUGGAAACGAAUGCUAAUACCUGAUAUUAUGAUUUUAGGGCAUCCUAGAAUUAUGAAAGCUAUAUGCACUGUGAGAGAGCUUUGCGUCCCAUUAGCUAGUUGGAGAGGUAACGGCUCACCAAGGCGAUGAUGGGUAGCCGGCCUGAGAGGGUGAUCGGCCACAAGGGGACUGAGACACGGCCCUUACUCCUACGGGAGGCAGCAGUGGGGAAUAUUGGACAAUGGACCAAGAGUCUGAUCCAGCAAUUCUGUGUGCACGAUGAAGUUUUUCGGAAUGUAAAGUGCUUUCAGUUGGGAAGAAAAAAAUGACGGUACCAACAGAAGAAGUGACGGCUAAAUACGUGCCAGCAGCCGCGGUAAUACGUAUGUCACAAGCGUUAUCCGGAUUUAUUGGGCGUAAAGCGCGUCUAGGUGGUUAUGUAAGUCUGAUGUGAAAAUGCAGGGCUCAACUCUGUAUUGCGUUGGAAACUGUGUAACUAGAGUACUGGAGAGGUAAGCGGAACUACAAGUGUAGAGGUGAAAUUCGUAGAUAUUUGUAGGAAUGCCGAUGGGGAAGCCAGCUUACUGGACAGAUACUGACGCUGAAGCGCGAAAGCGUGGGUAGCAAACAGG